rnacentral:lncRNA from 13 species
AGGUUCCCCGUUAUAAGCCAAUUUUGGCCCUAAAGUGCCAUCUUUGAUUUGCGAUACUGCAAGUUUUUUUUCUGCUAGAUUUUGUUGUUUUAUAUUAAAACAUUAAGAAAGCUUGUCAAAUUGAUUAAAUUUAAAUAGUUUAAUAAGAGUAACUGUGGUUGUUGGUGUGUGAUAUUAUAAAAGUUUUAUUAUUUUAACAUAAAAGCUUUGGACGUUUUGACUCAGCUUUGAGUCAUCUUCAGCUCCAAUGUUUACUUUCUUGAACGCUGUUACAUAAAUGCUUUUAGGUAAAAUGCUUCCUGGCUGGACAAUUUUCAUCUGGUUAGUACGCCAGUGACUAUUUUCCCUAUAGAAAGAUUAAUUUACAGCUACCAGAGGAGUCUGCACAUUGUGUGCAAAAACGAAUCACAUUAUUUUAUUUAAAUUAUAAGAAUUAUUUAACAUAACUUGUAACAAUCAUCUACGUAGUGACUUGUCAAUUUGAAGGACCAAACUGUAAUCCUUUGAAGGAUUACAAUUAAAUAGUUCUCAUCAUAAAAAAAAA